GAAAAGAAAUCAACCGAGAUUCCCCCAGUAGCGGCGAGCGAACGGGGAGCAGCCCAGAGCCUGAAUCAGUGUGUGUGUUAGUGGAAGCGUCUGGAAAGGCGCGCGAUACAGGGUGACAGCCCCGUACACAAAAAUGCACAUGCUGUGAGCUCGAUGAGUAGGGCGGGACACGUGGUAUCCUGUCUGAAUAUGGGGGGACCAUCCUCCAAGGCUAAAUACUCCUGACUGACCGAUAGUGAACCAGUACCGUGAGGGAAAGGCGAAAAGAACCCCGGCGAGGGGAGUGAAAAAGAACCUGAAACCGUGUACGUACAAGCAGUGGGAGCACGCUUAGGCGUGUGACUGCGUACCUUUUGUAUAAUGGGUCAGCGACUUAUAUUCUGUAGCAAGGUUAACCGAAUAGGGGAGCCGAAGGGAAACCGAGUCUUAACUGGGCGUUAAGUUGCAGGGUAUAGACCCGAAACCCGGUGAUCUAGCCAUGGGCAGGUUGAAGGUUGGGUAACACUAACUGGAGGACCGAACCGACUAAUGUUGAAAAAUUAGCGGAUGACUUGUGGCUGGGGGUGAAAGGCCAAUCAAACCGGGAGAUAGCUGGUUCUCCCCGAAAGCUAUUUAGGUAGCGCCUCGUGAAUUCAUCUCCGGGGGUAGAGCACUGUUUCGGCAAGGGGGUCAUCCCGACUUACCAACCCGAUGCAAACUGCGAAUACCGGAGAAUGUUAUCACGGGAGACACACGGCGGGUGCUAACGUCCGUCGUGAAGAGGGAAACAACCCAGACCGCCAGCUAAGGUCCCAAAGUCAUGGUUAAGUGGGAAACGAUGUGGGAAGGCCCAGACAGCCAGGAUGUUGGCUUAGAAGCAGCCAUCAUUUAAAGAAAGCGUAAUAGCUCACUGGUCGAGUCGGCCUGCGCGGAAGAUGUAACGGGGCUAAACCAUGCACCGAAGCUGCGGCAGCGACGCUUAUGCGUUGUUGGGUAGGGGAGCGUUCUGUAAGCCUGUGAAGGUGUGCUGUGAGGCAUGCUGGAGGUAUCAGAAGUGCGAAUGCUGACAUAAGUAACGAUAAAGCGGGUGAAAAGCCCGCUCGCCGGAAGACCAAGGGUUCCUGUCCAACGUUAAUCGGGGCAGGGUGAGUCGACCCCUAAGGCGAGGCCGAAAGGCGUAGUCGAUGGGAAACAGGUUAAUAUUCCUGUACUUGGUGUUACUGCGAAGGGGGGACGGAGAAGGCUAUGUUGGCCGGGCGACGGUUGUCCCGGUUUAAGCGUGUAGGCUGGUUUUCCAGGCAAAUCCGGAAAAUCAAGGCUGAGGCGUGAUGACGAGGCACUACGGUGCUGAAGCAACAAAUGCCCUGCUUCCAGGAAAAGCCUCUAAGCAUCAGGUAACAUCAAAUCGUACCCCAAACCGACACAGGUGGUCAGGUAGAGAAUACCAAGGCGCUUGAGAGAACUCGGGUGAAGGAACUAGGCAAAAUGGUGCCGUAACUUCGGGAGAAGGCACGCUGAUAUGUAGGUGAAGUCCCUUGCGGAUGGAGCUGAAAUCAGUCGAAGAUACCAGCUGGCUGCAACUGUUUAUUAAAAACACAGCACUGUGCAAACACGAAAGUGGACGUAUACGGUGUGACGCCUGCCCGGUGCCGGAAGGUUAAUUGAUGGGGUCAGCGCAAGCGAAGCUCUUGAUCGAAGCCCCGGUAAACGGCGGCCGUAACUAUAACGGUCCUAAGGUAGCGAAAUUCCUUGUCGGGUAAGUUCCGACCUGCACGAAUGGCGUAAUGAUGGCCAGGCUGUCUCCACCCGAGACUCAGUGAAAUUGAACUCGCUGUGAAGAUGCAGUGUACCCGCGGCAAGACGGAAAGACCCCGUGAACCUUUACUAUAGCUUGACACUGAACAUUGAGCCUUGAUGUGUAGGAUAGGUGGGAGGCUUGGAAGUG
rnacentral:rRNA from 1 species